CAUGAUGACCUGCCUCUGCCAUUUUUCUUUCAAAGAUGUGUCUCUCCAGUGUUGAAUAAAGCAUCACUGGUCCACGAGGUCUCCCUCCAUUUUUCUGUUUCUUUUUGUAUUCUCCCUGAAUGGGAGCAGGAUGUUUUGGGGGUUAUUUUUACCCCUCCCCAUUCCAAUGAAACUCCAUUUUUUUCUCUUUCUUCAUGAGACCUCCAGGUCAGAGGACACUUUCUGUCGUUUUGGUCCUGCAUGCAACAAGGAUCAUCUCUUCCUCAGACAAAAGCAACUUCUGGACAAAGUGACUUGUCUAACCGAGACCACCUCCCACGAACAUGCAAAAGUCAUUCUCUUUCACUCACUGACACUCCUGAGCCCCAUGAGGAAGGAAUCACCAACAAAUAUGUAUAUCUGACAUGGGAUCCCCUACUGCGCCCUUUCCAGCAAGAAGUAACCAGAUAUGAGGACAUUGCACCCCAACUCAUUAUCCCCUUUCAGAGUCUGGGAAUGAAGGAUAAGUUUGCCUACCUGUCCUCCCGCCCCAACCUAAACCCCUGUCAUGACAUGGCCCCUCCCACCAAAAGGGCCUGCCAAAACUAACUCCUCUCAUGACAUGGUUUGUCUAAAUCCUAUAAAACCCAGUCCCUCCUGAUGAUGGGUCACCACUUUUACCCUGAAGAUGUGCCCCUCUGGUGCUGAAUAAAACAUCAGUCUCGCCAGUUUC